rnacentral:rRNA from 1 species
AUAUUGCACAAUGGGGGCAACCCUGAUGCAGCGACGCCGCGUGAGGGAUGACGGCCUUCGGUUUGUAAACCUCUUUCAGUAGGGAAGAAGCGAGAGUGACGGUACCUGCAGUAGAAGCACCGGCUAACUACUUGCCAGCAGCCGCGGUAAUACGUAGGGUGCGAGCGUUAUCCGGAAUUAUUGGGCGUAAAGAGCUCGUAGGCGGUUUGUCACGUAUGCUGUGAAAGCCCGGGGCUUAACUCAGGGUUUGCAGUGGGUACGGGCUGACUAGAGUGCAGUAGGGGAGACUGGAAUUCAUGGUGUAGCGGUGAAAUGCGCAGAUAUCAGGAGGAACACCGAUGGCGAAGGCAGGUCUCUGGGCUGUUACUGACGCUGAGGAGCGAAAGCAUGGGGAGCGAAC